GACGAACGCUGGCGGCGUGCUUAACACAUGCAAGUCGAACGGAAAGGCCCUGCUUUUGUGGGGUGCUCGAGUGGCGAACGGGUGAGUAACACGUGAGUAACCUGCCCUUGACUUUGGGAUAACUUCAGGAAACUGGGGCUAAUACCGGAUAGGAGCUCCUGCUGCAUGGUGGGGGUUGGAAAGUUUCGGCGGUUGGGGAUGGACUCGCGGCUUAUCAGCUUGUUGGUGGGGUAGUGGCUUACCAAGGCUUUGACGGGUAGCCGGCCUGAGAGGGUGACCGGCCACAGUGGGACUGAGAUACGGCCCAGACUCCUACGGGAGGCAGCAGUGGGGAAUAUUGAACAAUGGGCGGAAGCCUGAUGCAGCAACGCCGCGUGCGGGAGGACGGCCUUCGGGUUGGAAACCGCUUUCGCCUGUGACGAAGCGUGAGUGACGGUAAUGGGUAAAGAAGCACCGGCUAACUACGUGC
rnacentral:rRNA from 1 species